UCUCUACUCAGUGGUCAGCAGGAACAUCACAAUGAUAAGGGCUUGAUUGCAAGACAUGGGAUUCUGCUAAUUUAGAAAAACACCACUGAGUGACUAAAUCCACAGCUCCGUAUACAAGGGCAUACAGUAUAGUGGCUGGAAAAACUAAGGACUAGCUGCUGAAAUACUGAGGUGUGGAGAAAGUGCUGGAGCCACAUUUUUGUCCUUCAGAGUGGGCUACUCAACUUUGUGAAUGAAUGAAGACAGAGUGAAAAGAAAAUGUUCUUCGGCUUAGAAUUGAAUGUCCAAUCAGAUUGGCUGCUGAAUCUUCGCAGAGGAAGUUGAUAAGACCAGUAACUUCAGAUAGGCCGUCUGACAAUUGAGGAGUUGCUUUU